rnacentral:rRNA from 2 species
CGGAACGAGUUAUCUGAACCUUCGGGGGAACGAUAACGGCGUCGAGCGGCGGACGGGUGAGUAAUGCCUAGGAAAUUGCCCUGAUGUGGGGGAUAACCAUUGGAAACGAUGGCUAAUACCGCAUAAUGCCUACGGGCCAAAGAGGGGGACCUUCGGGCCUCUCGCGUCAGGAUAUGCCUAGGUGGGAUUAGCUAGUUGGUGAGGUAAGGGCUCACCAAGGCGACGAUCCCUAGCUGGUCUGAGAGGAUGAUCAGCCACACUGGAACUGAGACACGGUCCAGACUCCUACGGGAGGCAGCAGUGGGGAAUAUUGCACAAUGGGCGCAAGCCUGAUGCAGCCAUGCCGCGUGUGUGAAGAAGGCCUUCGGGUUGUAAAGCACUUUCAGUCGUGAGGAAGGUAGUGCAGUUAAUAGCUGCAUUAUUUGACGUUAGCGACAGAAGAAGCACCGGCUAACUCCGUGCCAGCAGCCGCGGUAAUACGGAGGGUGCGAGCGUUAAUCGGAAUUACUGGGCGUAAAGCGCAUGCAGGUGGUUUGUUAAGUCAGAUGUGAAAGCCCGGGGCUCAACCUCGGAAUUGCAUUUGAAACUGGCAGACUAGAGUACUGUAGAGGGGGGUAGAAUUUCAGGUGUAGCGGUGAAAUGCGUAGAGAUCUGAAGGAAUACCGGUGGCGAAAGCGGCCCCCUGGACAGAUACUGACACUCAGAUGCGAAAGCGUGGGGAGCAAACAGGAUUAGGAUACCCUGGUAGUCCACGCCGUAAACGAUGUCUACCUUGGGA